rnacentral:RNase_P_RNA from 1 species
CGAGCUGGCCGGGCGACCGCGUUGGCGUCCCGUCCCCCCGGGGAGCGGGUCGCCGCCGAGGAAAGUCCGGACUCCACAGGGCAGGGUGGUUGCUAACGGCAACCCGGGGUGACCCGCGGGACAGUGCCACAGAAAGCAGACCGCCCGGCAGCCGCCGGGUAAGGGUGAAACGGUGGUGUAAGAGACCACCAGCACCCCGGGUGACCGGGGUGGCUCGGUAAACCCCACCUGGAGCAAGGCCAAGAGGGCGCCACACGUGGUGCCUGCGCAGGCGUUCGAGGGUCGCCCGCCCGAUGCCUGCGGGUAGGCCGCACGAGCCUGCCGGCGACGGCAGGCCUAGAUGGAUGGUCGCCGAACGGGAGCGCCGCGAGGCCCCCGGGAACAGAAUCCGGCUUACAGGCCAGCUCGUCCG